rnacentral:rRNA from 1 species
GACGAACGCUGGCGGCGUGCUUAACACAUGCAAGUCGAACGGAAAGGCCCUGCUUUUGUGGGGUGCUCGAGUGGCGAACGGGUGAGUAACACGUGAGUAACCUGCCCUUGACUUUGGGAUAACUUCAGGAAACUGGGGCUAAUACCGGAUAGGAGCUCCUGCUGCAUGGUGGGGGUUGGAAAGUUUCGGCGGUUGGGGAUGGACUCGCGGCUUAUCAGCUUGUUGGUGGGGUAGUGGCUUACCAAGGCUUUGACGGGUAGCCGGCCUGAGAGGGUGACCGGCCACAUUGGGACUGAGAUACGGCCCAGACUCCUACGGGAGGCAGCAGUAGGGAAUAUUGCACAAUGGGCGGAAGCCUGAUGCAGCAACGCCGCGUGCGGGAUGACGGCCUUCGGGUUGUAAACCGCUUUCGCCUGUGACGAAGCGUGGGUGACGGUAAUGGGUAAAGAAGCACCGGCUAACUACGUG